rnacentral:misc_RNA from 1 species
GGGACUUGUGAUCCAGUGUG